UACGUAGGGUGCAAGCGUUGUCCGGAAUUAUUGGGCGUAAAGAGCUCGUAGGCGGCUUGUCGCGUCGACUGUGAAAUCUCGGGGCUUAACUUCGGGCGUGCAGUCGAUACUGCGGGGCUAGAGUGCAGGAAGGGGCAACUGGAAUUCUCGGUGUAGCGGAUGAAAUGCGUAGAUAUCGAGAGGAACACCUGCGGCGAAGGCGGGUUGCUGGGCUGACACUGACGCUGACAGCGCGAAAGCUAGGGGAGCGAACGGG
rnacentral:rRNA from 1 species